AGAUGGGUGCUCGAGUGGUUGAAGAGGUACGCCUGGAACGCGUAUGUAGGGAAACUUACCGUGAGUUCGAAUCUCAUCCCAUCUGCCA
rnacentral:tRNA from 1 species